rnacentral:rRNA from 1 species
CGGAGGAAAAGAAACUAACAAGGAUUCCCCCAGUAACGGCGAGUGAAGCGGAAGAGCUCAAGCUUAAAAUCUCCAUGUUUACAUGGCGAAUUGUAGUCUAUUGAGGCUGUUGUCAGCAUAGCGAUUUGGGAUAAGUCCCUUGGAAAAGGGCAGCAUAGAGGGUGAUACUCCCGUCUUUGCUCAGAUUGUCUAUGUGUACGAUACGCUUUCUUUGAGUCGAGUUGUUUGGGAAUACAGCUCAAAGUAGGUGGUAAAUUCCAUCUAAAGCUAAAUAUUGGUGCGAGACCGAUAGCGAACAAGUACCGUGAGGGAAAGAUGAAAAGAACUUUGAAAAGAGAGUUAAAGAGUACCUGAAACUGUUGAAAGGGAACCGUAACAUGUCCAGUGUUGUAUCUUGUGCAUAUUUCAUUAGUGGAGCAAUUUACUGGUGCCCUGUGCAUGAGUGUGACGUCAAAGUCAGUUUGUAUGCUGCGGGAGAUGGUUAGCAAGGAGGUGCGUCACUUUUGUGUCAGUUAUACCUUGUUAUCUAGUAGCCGUGGUUGAGACUGAGGUGCCUACAACAUGCUUAUAGAGUAUAUUGUUGUCUCGUUGUUAUAUCUGUUUGGAUAGCUUGCUAUGCUGAUGGUCUAUAGUGGCGAUUGAUGAUGGUAUUAACUUUUUGCUGUUCGGGACUUU